rnacentral:rRNA from 1 species
UACAGAGGGGGCGAGCGUUGUUCGGAAUUACUGGGCGUAAAGGGCGCGUAGGCGGCCCGCUAAGUCGAACGUGAAAUCCCCAGGCUCAACCUGGGAACUGCGUCCGAUACUGGCAGGCUUGAAUCCGGGAGAGGGAUGUGGAAUUCCAGGUGUAGCGGUGAAAUGCGUAGAUAUCUGGAGGAACACCGGUGGCGAAGGCGACAUCCUGGACCGGUAUUGACGCUGAGGCGCGAAAGCCAGGGGAGCAAACGGG